rnacentral:rRNA from 1 species
UACGUAGGGUGCGAGCGUUGUCCGGAAUCAUUGGGCGUAAAGAGCUCGUAGGCGGUCUGUCGCGUCUGCUGUGAAAUCCCGAGGCUCAACCUCGGGCCUGCAGUGGGUACGGGCAGACUAGAGUGCGGUAGGGGAGAUUGGAGUUCCUGGUGUAGCGGUGGAAUGCGCAGAUAUCAGGAGGAACACCGAUGGCGAAGGCAGAUCUCUGGGCCGUAACUGACGCUGAGGAGCGAAAGCGUGGGGAGCGAACAGG